AUGAAACAGACCUGGAGCAGUCACUGUCUGCUCCUAAAGUUUCCACUGCAGAUUCAAGAAAAAGAAGGUCCUCGCAAUUUCUGUCUGGUUGUGGCAGCUAAGGCUGAAUGGGGGAAUACAGGA
rnacentral:snoRNA from 1 species